UAGGGAAUCUUCCGCAAUGGACGCAAGUCUGACGGAGCAACGCCGAGUGAGGGAAGAAGGAUUUCGGUUCGUAAAACUCUGUUGUUAGAGAAGAACAGCGCAGAGAGUAACUGUUAUGCGGGUGACGGUAUCUAACCAGAAAGCCACGGCUAACGACGUGCCAGCAGCCGCGGUAAUACGUAGGAGGCAAGCGUUGUCCGGAUUUAUUGGGAGUAAAGCGAGCGCAGGCGGUCAAUUAAGUCUGAUGUGAAAGCCCCCGGCUCAACCGGGGAGGUGCAUUGGAAACUGGUUGACUUGAGUGCAGAAGAGGAGAGUGGAAUUCCAUGUGUAGCGGUGAUAUGCGUAGAUAUAUGGAGAAACACCAGUGGCGAAGGCGACUCUCUGGUCUGUAACUGUCGCUGAGGCUCGAAAGCGUGGGUAGCAAACAGG
rnacentral:rRNA from 1 species